AGUCACUGACAUUAGAUACCCGUGUAGUCCAGGGCGUAAACGCUGCAGACUUGGUGUUGGGAACCCUUCGGGGGUGCUCAGUGCCGGAGAGAAGUUGUUAAGUCUGCUACUUGGGGAGUACGUCCGCAAGGAUGAAACUUAAAGGAAUUGGCGGGGGAGCACCGCAACGGGAGGAGCGUGCGGUUUAAUUGGAUUCAACACCGUAAACUCACCAGGGAAGACUGUUACAUGAAGGCCGAGAUGAAGACUCUGCUAGAUUUUCAG
rnacentral:rRNA from 1 species